AGAGUUUGAUCAUGGCUCAGGAUGAACGCUAGCGGCAGGCUUAAUACAUGCAAGUCGAGGGGCAGCAUGACUGUAGCAAUACAGUUGAUGGCGACCGGCAAACGGGUGCGGAACACGUACAGAACCUUCCUUCGAGCGGGGAAUAGCCCAGAGAAAUUUGGAUUAAUACCCCAUAGUAUUACGGAGUGGCAUCACUUUGUAAUUAAAGAUUUAUCACUUGAAGAUGGCUGUGCGGCUGAUUAGGUAGUUGGCGGGGUAACGGCCCACCAAGCCUGCGAUCAGUAACUGGUGUGAGAGCACGACCAGUCACACGGGCACUGAGACACGGGCCCGACUCCUACGGGAGGCAGCAGUAAGGAAUAUUGGUCAAUGGACGAAAGUCUGAACCAGCCAUGCCGCGUGGAGGAUGAAGGUCCUCUGGAUUGUAAACUUCUUUUAUAUGGGACGAAAAAGGGUCUUUCUAGAUCAACUGACGGUACCAUAGAA
rnacentral:rRNA from 1 species